UGUAGGUUGAAGGGAUUACUUUUAUCUGCCUUUAUAGUGAGAAUUAGAUUUCUGUUCUUUAUAAAGCAGGUAAUAUAGAUUUUGCAUGGAGUAAAAGCAUUCAAUUGUUAUUAAUGAUGGCAGCUGCGCUGCAGAGGAGAAAGCCUGUCAGAGUAACGUGUUCAGUUUUACAUCAUAAUCAGAGGUAUGUCAAUCUCUGUUGAAGGCAGAAUUAAAAACCCCUUCAACAUUUUUAAAAUAAUAGAUGAAAAACAUCUCAAAGUCUCCUUUAAAAUUUGAAUUGACGAUUCCACAUAACAGGAAAGGGACCAAGAACAUCUUAAAGAAAUACUUCACGAUGGAAGUGAUGUUUUAAGUGCAAUUUCAUCAAGGAGAAGUUUUUCCAAAAAGUCUUG
rnacentral:lncRNA from 1 species